rnacentral:rRNA from 1 species
CCUACGGGCGGCAGCAGUGAGGAAUAUUGGUCAAUGGACGAGAGUCUGAACCAGCCAAGUAGCGUGAAGGAUGACUGCCCUAUGGGUUGUAAACUUCUUUUAUAUGGGAAUAAAAUGUUCCACGUGUGGGAUUUUGUAUGUACCAUAUGAAUAAGGAUCGGCUAACUCCGUGCCAGCAGCCGCGGUAAUACGGAGGAUCCGAGCGUUAUCCGGAGUUAUUUGGUUUAAAGGGAGCGUAGGUGGAUUGUUAAGUCAGUUGUGAAAGUUUGCGGAUGAACCGUAAAAUUGCAGUUGAAACUGGCAGGCGUGAGUACAGUAGAGGUGGGUGGAAUUCGUGGUGUAGCGGUGAAAUGCUUAGAUAUCACGAAGAACUCCGAUUGCGAAGGCAGCGCACUGGACUGCAACUGACACUGAGGCUCGAAAGUGUGGGUGUCAAACAGGAUUAGAUACCCCAGUAGUC